GUGGAAACGAGCGAGCGAACGAGAGGCGGAACCGGAAGGACGAGGGCGGCGGCGGGAAGACGACGAUGACGACGACGUCGCUGGGACGGCGCAGGGCCCGCGGGACCGCUCAUUAGUGCAAGGCCAGGGGAGGAUCCAGAGCCACUUUGAAGCGCAAAGACGGACGCCGUAUCGCACGUCAAGGGAGAUGCGCCAACGUCCGUUUUGGAGAGCGCCGCCACUUGAGGAACAAUGGCGUACACUCCAGAGACGCAGCGCGUGAAGUACGUUUACGAGAGCGCCCGGACAAUAGCGGGCGCGAUAUUGCGCAACGCAAGGAAGAGAAAGUGAGAUGCGGGCGGCAGAUACGCUUGACAUUCGCCAUUGUUUACGGCGACGCGACGAAGGUCGGCUGACGGCGAAUGUGAAGUCGCAGCCGUGCCAGCACCGCGAGCGUCAUCGGGGAUCUGGCCCCGGUCGGCCCGCCCCAACGUGAACCAAACGGCCCGAGGCCGCCCCUGCGAGUUGCGCCGGCGCAUCAGGCGCAGAUACAGCGAUGGCGUCCACAGAAAAGCCGCCACGUUGGCGUGUGAGGCGCGGAGACGGACCGUCUGACUUGAAGGACGACGGCUUUUGCCAGAAAUUUCAAACGCGAGCUUCAACUUUCUGUGCGACGCCAGCAACCUCGCUCGAGAGCAAAACAACCAAACGUGACGAUUGCAUUUGGGAUUAUUUUUUUUUUUGUGGUCUUUUUGGAGAAAUUGGAACUGGGCGGGGCUUCAAACAAGCUGGAAGGAAAGCUGAAAAGUGUUAGCACAAAACAUAGAAAGAAAAAAAAAGAAAGCCCACUAGAACACCUGAACUGAGUUAAUCGGACGUCCCUGAAAUCGUGGGAGGUCAGCCUCGUCCCCAAUUAUGUAUUUUGACUUGCCUUCGUUUUAGGAUUUUAUUUUUUUUUUUUUAGCGUCUUACAGGUUGUCGGUCUCAGCAACGGUGGAUUUUUUUUUUCUUUGGUCACAAACGAACGUUAAUUCGAACUUCUCGUUGGUGUAGAAACGGACGUCCCGUUGGUACCGUACGGUGGCUCAAAAAGCUCAAUUUGUGACGAGGCGAAUAUGACGUCAGUAAACAAACUUCACCUUAUGAUUUAAAAAAAAAAAAAAACUAAAGAGGAUAAAAAAUCUGAAUGGUUUGCAUUUAUUUGUAAGGUGAGUUUGCCAAUCAUUGUCGUCUUUCUUUCUUUCAUCCUCCGUCCUGCUGACUUUUCUCCUUGCACCCGCCCAAAAGUCGUCUCAAUCUGCCACAGUCGCACAACGCGCGUCCUUGUUUUUCAACCUAAUGUCCAUUACACAUUUGAUAAACACGCAUUUGCAUUAGCGUUCGCCGAGGUCGGGAUUAGCAGCGUUCAUCCUCAAACUGUUGUGUCUCUGCGCUUCGCCUCUUUGUUGAUUUUUUUUUUUUUUUCGCCCCCUCCCUCUCGCUC